CCUACGGGAGGCAGCAGUGGGGAAUAUUGCACAAUGGGGGAAACCCUGAUGCAGCGACGCCGCGUGAGUGAAGAAGUAUUUCGGUAUGUAAAGCUCUAUCAGCAGGGAAGAAAAUGACGGUACCUGAUUAAGAAGCCCCGGCUAACUACGUGCCAGCAGCGGCGGUACUACGUAGGGGGCAAGCGUUAUCCGGAUUUACUGGGUGUAAAGGGAGCGUAGGCGGCAGGGCAAGUCUGAAGUGAAAUGCCGGGGCGUAACCCCGAAACUGCUUUGGAAACUGGGCAGCUAGAGUGCAGGAGAGGUAAGUGGAAUUCCUGGUGUAGCGGUGAAAUGCGUAGAUAUUAGGAGGAACACCAGUGGCGAAGGCAGCUUACUGGACUGUAACUGACGUUGAGGCUCGAAAGCGUGGGGAGCAAACAGGAUUAGAUACCCCGGUAGUC
rnacentral:rRNA from 1 species